rnacentral:lncRNA from 1 species
CUUAAAUUUACAGAUACACCAUUACAUAUAAAUGGUCUAAAUAUUUUAUUCAAUGUCAGAUUGGAUCAGAUAGUAAUGUUCAAUGCUCUGGUUGUCGGUCCACUGUCUCUUAGCUCUAGAGCCUCCCUUCUUAGCCAUUUGUGACACUGACAGUUCUCCCUUGCCACUUGGAAUAUAUUAGGCUAUAUCAGCAGAGGGCACUGCAGAGAGUCUUCGACAUUUCCAUUUGCUCUUAGGCAUCACACUUUCCCUUUCAAAACAUUGUGUUGUUUGUCUCUUGUUUGGAUCCUGACUAUGUAAAACUGCCACCAGGAGUGGUCCCACGAGAUAAUCCCCAUAAAAAUGGGAUUUGGAGGUUUGUUUGGUUGUGCCCCUGGUCUUGAAGGCAAAGCUGAACUUCCUGCCAAUGAGAAAUGGUAUGCUAAUAAUUCCUAGCAUGCAGUGACAUCCAAACUAGUCACAUGUGGCCAAGUGCCAAAAGCAUGUGCCUUCAGAGGCCAGUUGGCUGGAGCUCUUGACCAUCGUAACAGGGAUGAUGACCAUGAAGACUGUGAUGUGGGGUGAAUUCUUUUGUGGUUACUUGAUUGCUUACCAAAUGAAAAUGAAAUAUAUUUAUCCUUUAAUUCUCAGUGUAAGUAAUAGUCUGAGAACCAGAAAUCUUCCAUGAUAACUCUAAAAGAUUCUCCAGUUUCUUGUAGGCACUGGGCUGAUAUCACGUGAAAUGAAACAAAAACUUAAUUGUGUAGGUUGAUGAAUCACACUAUCAUUUGAGUUCAGUCUUAUCAAGUUUUGCAUGUGAAAGGGCAUUGACAAGAAAGAAUGGGA